GGCGCAGGAGCCAGAAACGACGACGCACCGUCGUCGUACGGUCGUUUUCCCGAUCGAACCUCAAAUCCCUCUGCGUUUUAGCGCCGGCAGUCCAUCGAGUCAAUUUCAUCGAUCUUGAAGAAGAAGAAGGAAGAAGAAGAAGAGGAAGAAGAAGGAGAUGGCGUUGUUCACGAGAGGAGAGCCGCUGGUCGCGAAGCUCGCGGCGCUGGCCAAGUACGUGGUGCUUCCCGGCGCCAUGGCGGCCGCCGUCAUCUACUCGCCUCCCGACUACGCUUCCUCCUCCAACAAGGAAAGCAAAUCCACCAAAUAAAUCCCCCCCUUCUCUCUUCGCAGGUGGAUGGAGUCUGCAUUCCAUGGUUGAUCUUUGGAAGAUGGAUGUAUGCUUUGCUUCUGGGUGAUGGCUUGGCAUCUUUUCACUGCAGGCAGUCCGGGCCAUCAUGCAGACUUUUGAUGUUGUGGCAAACUUCGCUUCACAUUUCUGUGUAAUAUGACACUUAAUAAUUCAGAUGGCUUGUGAUCACCAUAAAUUGCAGAGACAUUCCAAAAAUCGUGUAGGUAUCCAUUUCUGAGUUCUUAAUCUUUUCUUGUUGCUUGAUGUUUUUGUUACGACGUCUUCAGUCAGCGUAUCUGAGUGGCCAAGGCGAAGAUAGCAGAGUACCUUUAUCGUAUGUGCCAUGAUGUGCGUGCUGCAUUAGUUUUAGUGUGGUCGUGUAUGAAAGCUGAACUUUUCGUUUUUUGUUGUUUGCUUUUUCCGGUAGGUUAAGUUGAAUGAUUCUUACUCAACUGGAAGUUGUGGCUCCCUGCAAAUAAUUCCUUGAUGGUCUCUCUACCCCUCGCAAAACAGGGGAGUCCUAGGUGAAUAUAUUCUUUGAAAUUGGUCAUUCGUUAGUUGGCAGGCCACAAUUAGAUACGAUGAUGAGUAGAUCCAAAGCCUGUUAAAAGAACUAAUCUUAAAGACUCCGUUUGACGUGAAAAACGCAUUAUGUUUACACCUCAUCCCGUUUAACCCACUCGAUCCUCCCUUCUCUACUCUGGGAAAUAGAGAAACAAUGGCUGCUCCUGCACUCUUUGCGCUCCUCCCUUCGUUUCUCUCUUUUUUUGCAAUCUUGGUCUCAGCCAGCGAUAUCUCUAUCGUGAGCUACUCUGAGGAUGAUUUGAAAUCCAUUGAUAAGCUCCUCGAUCUCUCUGAGGAAAAGAUGUGGAGAUUCGAGGCGUUCAAGGAGAACUCGAAGCACAUCGAAAACACUUAAAAGAAGGUGACCAACUCUUGGAUUGAUUUGAAUAAAUUUUGCCAAUUGGGCCCAGGAAGAGUUCAUGGGGGUGUGUCCAGGAUGCAAGAUCGAGUCACUCAAGAAGGAAGAUUCCCGCAAUGAAUUUAUUCGCGAGGAUGUCGUGGAUUCACCCAAGUCUGUGGAUUAGAGAAAGAAAGGAGCCGUCGCUCAUGUCAAGAACCAUGGUUCAUGUGCGAGUUGCUGGGCAUUUUCCAUUGUAGCGGCGGUAGAGAGCAUAAACUAAAUAGUGACCGGAAACUGGACAGCGUCAUCUGAGCAAGAGCUGUUUGACUGACAAACCAAACGACAACGGGUGUAACGGCGGUCUUACUGACUAUGCAUCGUCUUAAUUGGUGGAACAUACAAGGAAGAGGACUACCCUUAUAUCAUGGAGAAGGGUACCUGUGAGAUGACCAAAGAUUAAAAGGCGGUAGCGACAAUCGAUGGUUACCAUGAUGUGCCUGGGAACAACGAAGAGAGCCUCCUAAAGGCUCUCGCAAAGCAGGCACUCAGCGUGGCCAUCGAAGCAGAGGGUUGCGAUGCCUAUGCUAUAAACAUGGAGAUUAUUAAUUUCUUCAUACUCGGUAGGGAGUUUUUAAUGGACAUCGCGGUAGGGAGUUGGAUCAUGGGGUGGCAGCCAUUGGACACGCAAGGGGUGCUUCUUGUGGGUCAUGUGGCCCAACUCCAUGCGAAAGAAGGCGGCGGCAUCGUCUCGGAGGAGCUGAGGGAGGCGACGUCGGAGAGGGGGUGUAUCGUAGAGUGGGCUCGCAAGAGAAGGUUUGCACCAGGACGCCGUUGUGACAUUCUUGACCCGCAUUGGUGGUACUUGAUGGUCGAGAUUGUGGUCGAUAGGAAGGUGAUGGUGUGCUGGCCGUUCUUUGCUGACCAGCAGGUGAACAGCCAGCUUGGGAGCCACGCAAGGAAGUUUGGGGUCGACAAUGAUAUGUGCAAACCCUGCGCGAUGAUCAUCUUCAGACUACAUUUUACCCUAAGUCGUCAGAACACAAUCAGCUAG